AGAGUUUGAUCCUGGCUCAGAGCGAACGCUAGCGGCGGGCUUAACACAUGCAAGUCGAGCGGAGGGGCAACCCUUAGCGGCGAACGGGUGAGUAACGCGUAGGUAACGUGCCUUCAGGUGGGGAACAACCGUGGGAAACCAUGGCUAAUACCGCAUAAUGUCGAAAGAUGAAAGCCUUCGGGCGCCUGGAGAGCGGCCUGCGUCCCAUUACCUAGUUGGUAGGGUAACGGCCUACCAAGGGAACGAUGGGUAGCUGGUCUAAGAGGAUGAUCAGCCACACUGGAACUGAGACACGGUCCAGACUCCUACGGGAGGCAGCAGUGGGGAAUAUUGCGCAAUGGGGGAAACCCUGACGCAGCCACGCCGCGUGAGUGAAGAAGGCCUUCGGGUCGUAAAGCUCUGUCGGGAGAGACGAAGGGGUAAAACUCUGACGGUAUCUCGCAAGAAAGCACCGGCUAACUCUGUGCCAGCAGCCGCGGUAAUACAGAGGGUGCAAGCGUUGCUCGGAUUUACUGGGCGUAAGGCGUACGCAGACGGACCGUCAAGUCGGGAGUGAAAGCCCUGGGCUCAACCCAGGAACGGCUUUCGAUACUAGCGGUCUUGAGUUUGGGAGAGGGAAGCGGAAUUCCUGGUGUAGAGGUGAAAUUCGUAGAUAUCAGGAGGAACACCGGCGGCGAAGGCGGCUUCCUGGCCCAAUACUGACGUUCAGGUACGAAAGCGUGGGUAGCAAACAGGAUUAGAUACCCUGGUAGUCCACGCUGUAAACGAUGAGUGCUGGAUGUCGGAGGUAUUCACCCCUUCGGUAUCGAAGCUAACGCGUUAAGCACUCCGCCUGGGGAGUACGGCCGCAAGGUUGAAACUCAAAGGAAUUGACGGGGGCCCGCACAAGCGGUGGAGUAUGUGGUUUAAUUCGACCACGCGCAGAACCUUACCCAGCCUUGACAUCCUUGGAACCGAGUGGAAACACUUGGGUGCUCUCGCAAGAGAGAGCCAGGAGACAGGUGCUGCAUGGCUGUCGUCAGCUCGUGUCGUGAGAUGUUCGGUUAAGUCCGGCAACGAGCGCAACCCCUGUCUUCAGUUGCCAUCAUUCAGUUGGGCACUCUGGAGAGACUGCCGGCGUCAAGCCGGAGGAAGGUGGGGAUGACGUCAAGUCCUCAUGGCCUUUAUGGUUGGGGCUACACACGUACUACAAUGAUGACUACAAAGGGCAGCCAACCCGCGAGGGGGAGCAAAUCCCAAAAAAGUCAUCUCAGUUCGGAUUGCAGUCUGCAACUCGACUGCAUGAAGUCGGAAUCGCUAGUAAUCGCGGAUCAGCAUGUCGCGGUGAAUACGUUCCCGGGCCUUGUACACACCGCCCGUCACACCACGAAAGUUGGAUGGACCCGAAGUCGCUGCUCCGACCCGCAAGGGGGGAAGGCGCCAACGGUCUGUUCGAUGAUUGGGGUGAAGUCGUAACAAGGUA
rnacentral:rRNA from 1 species